rnacentral:rRNA from 1 species
AUUGAACGCUGGCGGCAGGCCUAACACAUGCAAGUCGAGCGAGCGGCGGACGGGUGAGGAAUGUCUGGGAAACUGCCUGAUGGAGGGGGAUCACUACUGGAAAAGGCAGCUAAUCCCGCACACCAUCAGAUGUGCCCAGAUGGGAUUAGCUAGUCGGUGGGGUAACGGCUCACCUAGGCGACGAUCCCUAGCUGGUCUGCGAGGAUGACCAGCCACCCUGGAACUGAGACACGGUCCAGACUCCUACGGGAGGCAGCAGUGGGGAAUAUUGCACAAUGGGCGCAAGCCUGAUGCAGCCAUGCCGCGUGUGUGAAGAAGGCCUUCGGGUUGUAAAGCACUUUCAUCGGGGAGGCGUUACCCGCAGAAGAAGCACCGACUAACUCCGUGCCAGCAGCCGCGGUAAUAC